AUAUUCUAAAGGAAAACAACAACAUAUCAUUAGAUUCUCCUUUCAGAGAAUAAACAAACAUUACAAUUUUUUCAUUUCAAAUAUUAAGGGAACACUGUUAAACCACUAGUAGUUGAUAAACUCUGAUUAGUCCAGCGUACUCAUCAUACCAUGUAAGAGUUCCAACAUUUUCUUGCAAUAGUUUUAAAGUUGUCUUAUUCCAUUCAGCUUUUAAACCCCUUUUUUUUAAAAAAUACAUUAGUGACAUAAAUAGCAUGUACUACCAGAAACCAAUAUACCUCUUUACAAUGAAGGAGAACAAUGGGUGAAGAAGGCCUUAUCAUGAAUUAAAACUUAAAAGUAGAAUGUAUAAUCAUAUAAAUUGUUAUUAUCAUGUGGAAUAGAAAUACUCAAAAUACUUUUUGAGAACAACUAAUCUGUAAAAAAAAAAAAAAAAUUUAAAUUAAAAGUUAAAAAAAACAGUGGGAUGGGGAAGGGAUCGACAUUAACGGUUGUCUGAUUGCCCAGGCAAGUGAAAACCCAAUAUGGACAAGUGAAACUCAAUACACACUUGUCCGAUAGGGCAAGUGAUUUUUUCAGUAGGAAAUGUGAUUAUUAUAAUAAUUGUAUUCAUGAUGAAUACCAAAUAUUAAAUUUAAAAAGUUAAGUCCAACUCCAUAUAUUGUUAUUUUCUGUAACGAAUCAUCAGAUUAUAGCAAAGGCCCAUUCUAGUACAUCGUACUGUAUCACCAAUUGACAGAGAGAGAUUAUCAGAAUUACUGGAUGAUUUCGGACAACUAAGUUUUUCAUUUGGACAGGAAAAACUUCUGAGUUUACUUGUCCAAAGGGCAAGGGAGAUGAAAAGUUAAUGUCUAUCCCUGCGGGGGAGCCUAGCAUCUUUGAGCCUAUGACUACUGCCUCCAAAUCAUUAUGUAUUGUCAAUCCCUGCAUAUUCAGCUGAUAAUACUUUUGAUAGUUUUUGUUUGUUCACCAGUGGUAACUGUCAUUAUGGCAUACAUCCUGACCUUGACAUAAAGAGGAAUCAAUUAUAUUCAUGGGGUCUGACAUGGAUAAAACACUUCUCUUUGGUGGUGGUGUUGUGUGAGUGGGGGAGGGGGGGGGGGGGGGGUGAAUUUAUUACUCUAUUAAUGAAAUAAAAUGGAUUGAUCAGUUAAUACUGGGAAAGCUUUUUAUUAUACAUGUGUUACUCUUUCUUUCUGUAGAUUUGAAGGCAUGCCAUAACCACAAAAUCCAUGGAUAUUUCACCAACAUAAACAAUACGGAUUCCCAAUUUCAUUCUAGUCUUGUGGUCUCCUACAUACCUGUUUGGAUGUCAUAACACAACUGAAGCAUUGGGAGUUGAAAGGGUGAGUUUAGCAUGCACGCACAUGACAUGAAAAUCAACCUUGCCUUUUAUACUAUGACAGAGCUGAAAAAUUCAUUAAGGUACA